AAAUUGCCUGUGUUCUACCUGUACUGAUGGAUGGCAUACAGAGUCACCCCCAAAAACCUUUCUACACAGUUGGUGAGAAGGUGACUGUUUCCUGUUCAGGUGGCAUGUCCUUAGAAGGUCCUUCAGCAUUUCUCUGUGGCUCCAGCCUUAAGUGGAGUCCUGAGAUGAAGAAUGCCCGCUGUGUACAAAAAGAAAAUCCAUUAACACAGGCAGUGCCUAAAUGUCAGCGCUGGGAGAAACUGCAGAAUUCAAGAUGUGUUUGUAAAAUGCCCUACGAAUGUGUG
rnacentral:sRNA from 1 species